UAAAAAAUUAUUUGGCUAGCCAUGUUCAAGUUUAGAAGUGGAUGCUCAUGGACUGGACGACAUAAUUAUAUAAUCGUUCAUGAUAAAAGAAGAUAUUUGGGGCAAAAGUAAAUGUUCAUGUUCUAGCUGUGGCUAGGGGUUCGUGGCAGUGAUUCUUACCUAUGCUCUCCGUGGUCCUUCAUAACAUUGCCUCUCUCUCCUAUGUUGAUCUUGAGAUCUGGGAGCUCAUCGAUGGCUCUUGCUCUUCCCACCUCACCCGC
rnacentral:lncRNA from 1 species